rnacentral:rRNA from 1 species
GACGAACGCUGGCGGCGUGCUUAACACAUGCAAGUCGAACGGGUCUGCCCUGUUUUUUGCGGGGUGGGUCAGUGGCGAACGGGUGAGUAACACGUGAGUAACCUGCCCCUCACUUCUGGAUAACCGCUUGAAAGGGUGGCUAAUACGGGGUGUUCUGGCUGUGCCGCAUGGUGUGGCUGGGAAAGAUUCACUUUUGUGGUGUUUUGGUGGGGGAUGGGCUCGCGGCCUAUCAGCUUGUUGGUGGGGUGAUGGCCUGCCAAGGCUUUGACGGGUAGCCGGCCUGAGAGGGUGGGCGGUCACACUGGGACUGAGAUACGGCCCAGACUCCUGCGGGAGGCAGCAGUGGGGGGUAUUGCACAAUGGGCGGAAGCCUGAUGCAGAGACGUCGCGUGAGGGAUGGAGGCCUUCGGGUUGUGAACCUCUUUCGCCGGUGAAGAAGGUCCUGCUCUUUGUGGUGGGGUUGACGGUAGCCGGGUUAUGAAGCGCCGGCUAACUACGUG